GACAGAGGGUGCAAACGUUGUUCGGAAUUACUGGGCGUAAAGCGCGUGUAGGCGGCUAAGUAAGUCGGGCGUGAAAUCCCACGGCUCAACCGUGGAACUGCUUGGUAUACUGGUUGUCUUGGGCCAUCUAGGGGCGAGCGGAACAAACGGUGGAGCGGUGAAAUGCGUAGAUAUCGUUUUGGAACGCCAAUGUGAAAAACA
rnacentral:rRNA from 1 species